UUCAAACUUCACAUGCCAAAUUAUUGCUUCGCUUUAAUUGAAGUCUAACACUUCCAAUUUAUCGAUCACAAAACACAUAGUAGCACUUUUGGCUGCCAUGAAAAUUCCUCCAAAAAAGCCCCAUUUUUUCAAACCCAUUCAGCCAGGUUUCAAGAAUGGUCUUAAAAUUCCUGUAGGUUUCUUGAAGUAUGUGAAGGGACAAGAUCAAAUUGAACAUGUAGUACUGAGAAGUGGAGGCAAAAAUUGGCUGGUGAAGGUUAAAUGUUGGCGAUUCGAAGCGGGUUGGGCUGCAUUUGUAGAACAACAUGAUUUACAAUUGGGAGAUAUGUUGGUGUUUAGAUAUGAAGGAAAUAUGGAAUUUGAAGUUUCCAUAUUUGAUUCAACUCAUUGUGAUAGAGAAUAUGUUGAGUAUCUGCACGAAGAUCAAGGAGGAUCUUGGAGAGAUGAAGAGAUUUCCAAGAAAUUUAAAUUUAAAGGAAGACCAAGGCUCAGAAUCAAGAUGUCAAAAAAGGCUUCUUCCCAUGUAGAAGCUGCUGCUCAUCACAAGUCUUUUGGUCAUUCUCAUUUUGAAUGCACUAUUAGAGAAUAUAACAUUUCACAUCAUUAUUUGGGCCUUCCUCAACAAUUCGCAUAUGCAAAUGGUCUCACCAAUAAGAAGUGUAGUUUGAUUAUAAGAGAUGAACAACAAAGGUUAUGGAAUUUAAAGCUGAGUUCUUGCAAAAGUCGAACCUAUAUUACUGGUGGAUGGCACAAAUUCAGUGCUGAUAAUUGCUUAAAGAAGGGAGAUCGCAUAAUGUUUGAGGUUGUUACCAAUGGAGAGACACCUAUAUGGAAAUUUCAAGUUACUAAUCGAGAAACUCCAUUGCAGAAGUUUCAAGACAUUAUGCAAAAACCCUCAAACAUGAGUGUUCUGAAUGCACAAGUAGCCACUUCAACUUCUGGUGAUGAUGAUUAUCCUUGUUUUGUUUCAACCGUUAAACCUUACUGCCUCAGAUGUGCAGCUUUGUAUCUUCCAACGGAUUUUGUAAAGUCAAGCGGGUUGAUGAAUAGAAACUGUGAGAUGAUUCUGAAAGGUGAAGCACAGAGAUGCUGGUCAGUUUGGUUUGGGAAAUCUGGACAUCAUUUUGGAAUUAUACAUGGAUGGGAAAAAUUCAGAGCAGAAAAUGGACUCCAAGUAGGAGACGUUUACAAGUUUGAACUCAUCAAGAAUGGGAAAGUACCUAUAGCACAAUUCCAUUGCAAAUAUUCUGGAAAGGUUGCAAAGAGAGAGGAACGUCGAAGCAAGUUGAAUACAUAAAAAGAAAAAUCGGUUGAUCGUAUGGUGUAUAACUUCAAAAACUAUAUACAGUGUUUCUACAAAAUCUCCAUGUAAGGUAAUUCAUCCACCCCUUGAAUAGAUCAAAGAUCACCCAUGUCUACACAGAAAAGAACUACUUGGAAGACAAACUCGCAAAGGUAUGGAAUGAAGCUAAAUAGUGAUAGCCACCAGCUGAUGUAACGAUCACCAACCAGAGUAUAAGGACAUGUUUCCAUUCGACGAGUUUAUCUGAGCAAUUUUUUGUGAUCAAUGUGGCACCAACAAUGGGAAUACCUACAGUAGAAUUAAUGCCAUAGAAAUAGUGUUUUUGUAAUCAUCCUUUCUGUUGGGCUUUUUGUAAAAAAAUGAUGCGGCAGCAAAAGGGGUUAAAACAACUCUCUUUGGAUUGAAAUGACUUUCAAGCUUUCAAAAAGUUCUAGUA